UGGUUAAAAUGAUUUUUUAGGAGCGGCAGUGGCUCAGGCCAGUUGACCUGGUGCUUGAGGAGGUGAGGCUAUGCGUUCGAGGCCAACCUGGGCAACAUAAGAAACUCUCAUUAAUUAAAAAAAAAAU